CAGGACUGAGUAUUUAUGAGACCGCUAGCAAAGAAGCAUUCGUCUCCUUACUUUGUGUUUGAUCGGUGCACUCUCUUACGUUUGGCGUUCAAUUCACGUCGACAAGGGAAACCGGAGAAGUACAAAAUGGAUGUCGUAAACAAUAUUUUCGGAGGAUUGCAAUCAAAAACGAACGCAUCGGUGCUUUCGGCGCUCGUGAGCGCGUCGUUAUAUAUCAUGUACUUCUUUGUUAAUUACUCCGCGACGAAUGUUCCCUCUAAAUUAUUAAUGCCGUCUUACGAUUUCAUAGUUGUAGGUGGCGGUUCUGCGGGAGCUGUCUUGGCGAGUCGUUUGUCCGAGAUAGAAGACUGGAACGUACUCCUCUUGGAAGCAGGUGGCGAUGGAAGCAUUAUAUAUGAUAUUCCGAUAUUUGCCCCCAAUCUGCAGCUCUCCGAGAUCGACUGGAAAUACACAACGGAACCCGGUACAAGUUACUGUAGAGGGAUGAAGGGGGGUCGUUGUCUUUGGCCACGUGGCAAAGUGAUCGGAGGCAGCAGCACGAUAAAUUACAUGCUCUAUGUUCGUGGUAACAAAAAAGAUUACGACAUCUGGGGACAACUAGGCAAUCCAGGAUGGUCCUACAAGGACGUCCUGAGUUAUUUCAAAAAAUCGGAAGACAAUCAAAACACCAAGACUCCGUAUCAUUCGAGAGGGGGUUACCUAACUGUCGAAGAAUCAAGAUGGCACACACCCCUGGCCGUUGCGUUCCUUCAAGCAGGACGAGAAAUGGGUUACGAGGACAGAGACAUUAAUGGAGAACGGCAGACUGGCUUUAUGACUCCUCAGGGGACCAUUAGACACGGAAGCCGGUGCUCCACGGGGAAGGCCUUCCUGCGGCCGGCCAGCGCGCGUAAGAAUUUACACGUAGCUAUGCAAGCACAUGUUACGAAAAUUUUAUUAAAUCCUUUUUCAAAGAGAGCUUACGGUGUAGAGUUCUUUAGAAAUGGAAGGACGCUGCGCAUUCGUGCCAACAAGGAGGUGAUAGUUUCCGCAGGAUCUAUCAACAGCCCUCAAUUACUGAUGUUAUCUGGAAUAGGACCUGGAGAACAUUUAGCGGAACACGGGAUACCAGUGAUUCGGAAUUUAAGUGUAGGUCAUAAUCUUCAAGACCAUUUAAUUGUGGGAGGCAUUACGUUCUCGCUUAAUGAAGAAAUAUCGUUGAUAGAGAGCAGGUUGUAUGAUAUUCGACAUGUGCUAGAAUACGACAUAUUGGGAACUGGUCCUUUUACCGCUUUAGGAGGUGUCGAAGGACUAGCUUUUAUCAAUACUAAAUACGCAAAUGCCUCUGACGAUUUCCCAGACAUGCAACUGCAUUUUGCGCCAUUGGGUCAGAGCAACAACAGCAUUUUUAGAAAGACUUACGGUCUGAAAAGUGAAUACUACGAUGCUGUAUUUAGUGAGGUUCUUAAUAAGGACGUAUGGUCCGUGUUUCCUACACUUUUAAGACCGAAAAGCAAAGGUAUCAUAAAGCUUCGAAGCAGCAAUCCCUUCGAUUAUCCGUUGAUUUAUCCCAACUAUCUCGAAAAACCAGAAGAUAUGGCGACAAUGGUAGAAGGAAUUAAGUUUGCGGUCGAGAUGAGUAAAACUGCCACAUUCAGACGUUAUGGAAGCAGAUUAUUAUCGAAACCAUUUCCUGACUGCGUGAAUAUCACUAUGUAUACCGAUCCAUACUGGGAGUGCCUGAUCAGAUUCUUUUCCAUGACUGUACAUCAUCCAGUGGGUACUUGCAAGAUGGGGCCUAAUUCGGAUCCAACAGCUGUAGUAGACCCUCAGCUUCGAGUUCACGGAGUCACCGGACUUCGAGUCAUAGACGGCUCGAUUAUGCCAAACAUAGUCAGUGGUAAUACCAAUGCCCCGAUAAUCAUGAUCGCGGAGAAGGGUGCCGAUAUGAUAAAAGAGGAAUGGUUCAAGAAACGGAGUUCACAGUGAAUAAUUUUUUUUAAAUAUUUUAAAUAAGUCAGCAAUUUUUACAAAUUAGUUUACAGCAACUGCUAUUGUUUAUCACAUAAUUGAAAUGUAUAAUUAUGAACUUGAAUUAUAUUUUCAUCAUAUUUUGCGAAUAGCGGAAUUCGAGUCAGAAUGUAAUCAUGCUUAAUCGAAUGAAUACCAGGUAAAUUAAGUUUUAACAAAUACAAAUUAGUCCGGUAGAAUUCUGUUUAUCCGAACAUAUCGAGGAACAAACAGUUAAUAAUGUGGCGGUUCAACAAUUUUUGCUGCUACGUUCUUUUAAUGUUGAUAUAUUGCAUUGCAAUUGAAACGUAUAGUGUGAGGAAAGCAUAGCGUCGAUGAAGAAAAAUUGUUACAGACGUUAAGUACUAUAUUUUGUAAUUUCUUUCCUUCUUCCUGUGGAUAUGGUUUGUACAUACAUAUUUGAUAGAAUGCAGUCAAUUUUCUGCAUAACGCAACAAUGUGAAUUUACAAUAUCUGUAUGUAUGUUUAUUACAUUGGUACAGACAUAGAAAAUCGAAUGAUUCUGUCUACUUUUAUAAAUAUUAAAUUACAGAAUGCUUUAGAAUAAAGUUAGAUAUGUACUAGAAUCGAAUUAUUAUUUACUAUAAUUCAAUUUGUGGUCAACUCUUACAUACAUUAAACUUAUGGCUGAUGAAAAUGCUGGCAGCAUUUUUGCUGAUCCCAGUGAUUGUUGGUUCUUUUCGACACCUGCAUACAGACAGUUGGACCGCCGAAGACAGAGAUACCGCCGAAGAAGACCAGUAUGAUAAUAAAGAUGAUACUAAUUCAUUUAAGCCACGGUGAAGCUGACCAAAUUUCCGGAAUACACUGAAUGUGGGGAAAUACGCUCCUGAUCAAAAAGAUAGUCCAAGUGGGCUAUCUUUGAUUUCUGAAUAACAUGUGUAAUGUUUCUCGUCUGUAACGUAUAAUAAAAAAAACCAACGUGUAGUGAAGAAAGCAAAUUCUUGAACUAAAGCAGCAACAGUUAUCAGUGGGAAAAAGAAAAGAGACAACGUCAGUGAUUCGACGACAAAUGGGAGGAUGAAGCGUGAUGGUUUUUACCAGGAUUGACAAGUGUCAAGUUCAUCAAUGGGAGAAUGAAUAGUGUUCGAUACAUAAAUUUAAUCAAAGAACAAAUAAAUAAUCAUGUAGAACGCAUUUCUGGAUCCUAUUACAUCUUUUAACAAGAUAAUGCAUCUGUACACACAUCAAAAUUGUUCCAAUUAUACUUUAAUGAAAAUAAUAUAUCUGUUUUGCCAUGGCCUGCACGCUCCCGGGACUCUGAUAUUAUUAAAAAUUGCUGGGAAGUACUUAUUUACGGCGUAUACGCGAAUGGAAAGCAGUAUCACACAUACAAUUUGAGGUUUAUAGCUCGUAAUAGGUACCGCUUGUGUAUAAGAUUUUUAUCUUCAUUUGGGUUGGGAGAAUGUUCUUCCAACCAUCCGGACCACUCCCUUCUAUUCCUCUAGAAAUCGUGAAAACACGACUAUGAAUGCCGGGAUUUGAGCCUGGGGCUGGAAUGUUCGCAAUCAACUACGCUACUCAUAACGAAUCAAUUUUGAAACGUUUAGAUAAUCUCUUUUUUCUCUGCAGUCUUCAAGAUGGCUAAGAUAAAUUCGAAAAAUUCUGAAAUACUGAAAUACAUUAACAACAUCUUGUUUAUUAAUUUUUCAUUUAAAUCUGUCACAAAUGCAACAUACUUGAUGUCAUAAUUAAUUAUGUGAGUCUUGAUUGCUAGUGUGUAAAGUAGUAAGCGAAUUUAAGAAAUUUAAGGAGUUAAAAAAUGGCCCAUUAAACGCCAGUCUGUUAAUUAUAUGUAGCGGUACUUGUCGACAAAAGUCAUCAUGGUUUUUGCCCAGCAAAUCCGCUACACAAGAAACCGUGUUUACUCAAACACGAGCUAAUUAUAGAUCUAUCUGCCUUAGGCGGUUCCGAUCAUUAGGCCAAAUCCGUCGUUUUUGCCGUGACCAUAGGCUCGUGAGUCAGCUACCCAAAAAACCAACAAUUGUAAACAGGUCGCGAGCUCGGCGCCCGUUGGGACGUUUCGAGAACAUUCUCGAAAUUCAAAUCUCAACGCCUGUCGUCAACUCCGGCGGAUAUAAAAAUAGCGGACAGAGUAGCGACGCAUCCUUAGUUACCGAGAGAUACGAGCAGCGACAAUUAACCGAUACUUCUUUGCGCUGAUCUAUUAGCGACCGCGAAACGAGACAGCAAGUAUAUUGUACGACUAGUGUACGCAUCGGAUAUAUUCUAAUAAACUACGUAGUUAGGUAUAUUCCGGCGUUUGUGUGAAUUAAUCGACACCUUUAUCACCUCAUAUACCUUGAAGGCGAACCAAUAACAUUUUUGGCAAUUAAAAAAAUCUCUAAUUUUUCGCAUGUUUUU